rnacentral:rRNA from 1 species
AGGUGGGGUGGUAGAGAAUACCGAGGGGCGCGAGGUAACUCUCUCUAAGGAACUCGGCAAAAUGGCCCCGUAACUUCGGGAGAAGGGGUGCCAGCGAGAGCUGGUCGCAGUGAAGAGGCCCAGGCGACUGUUUACCAAAAACACAGGUCUCCGCUAAGUCGCAAGACGAUGUAUGGGGGCUGACGCCUGCCCAGUGCCGAAGGUUAAGGAGGCUGGUCAGCGCAAGCGAAGCUGGCGACUGAAGCCCCGGUGAACGGCGGCCGUAACGAUAACGGUCCUAAGGUAGCGAAAUUCCUUGUCGGGUAAGUUCCGACCCGCACGAAAGGCGUAACGAUCUGGGCGCUGUCUCGGAGAGAGGCUCGGCGAAAUAGAAUUGUCUGUGAAGAUGCGGACUACGUGCACCCGGACAGAAAGACCCUAUGAAGCUUUACUGUAGCUUGGUAUUGUGCUCGGGCUCGGAAUGCGCAGGAUAGGUGGGAGGCAUUGAUCCAUUGCUUGCGGGUGAUGGUGAGCCACUGGUGAGAUACCACUCUUUUCGAGCUUAAGUUCUAACGGCCACCCGUUAUCCGGGGGCCGGACAGUAUCAGGUGGGCAGUUUGACUGGGGCGGUCGCCUCCUAAAAGGUAACGGAGGCGCGCAAAGGUCUGCUCAGGCUGGUUGGAAAUCAGCCGACGAGUGUAAAAGCAGAAGCAGGCUUGACUGUGAGACCUACAAGUCGAACAGGGAGGAAACUCGGCUUUAGUGAUCCGACGGUUCUGCGUGGAAGGGCCGUCGCUCAACGGAUAAAAGUUACUCUAGGAUAACAGGCUGAUCUCCCCCAAGAGUUCACAUCGACGGGGAGGUUUGGCACCUCGAUGUCGGCUCAUCGCAACCUGUGCUGAAGUCGGUCCCAAGGGUUGGGUUGUUCGCCCAUUAAAGCGGUACGCGAGCUGGGUUCAGAACGUCGUAAGACAGUUCGGUCCAUAUCCGGUGCACGCGCAGGAAUAUUGAGAGGAUUUCUCCCUAGUACGAGAGGACCGGGAGGAACGCACCUCUGGUGUGCCAGUUAUCGUGCCAACGGUAAACGCUGGGUAGCCAUGUGCGGAGAGGAUAACCGCUGAAAGCAUCUAAGUGGGAAGCCCACCUCAAGAUGAGUAUUCCCAUGGCGUUAAGCCAGUAAGGUCACGGGAAGAACACCCGUUGAUAGGCUCUAUGUGGAAGCGCAGUAAUGCGUGAAGCAGAGGAGUACUAAUAGACCGAGGGCUUGAC